UACGUAGGGCGCAAGCGUUAUCCGGAAUUAUUGGGCGUAAAGAGCUCGUAGGCGGUUUGUCGCGUCUGCCGUGAAAGCCCGGGGCUCAACCCCGGAGGUGCAUCCGAAACUCUGGGGCUGGAGGUCGGAAGAGGAGGGUGGAAUACCCAGUGUAGAGGUGAAAUUCGUAGAUAUUGGGUGGAACACCGGUGGCGAAAGCGGCUCUCUGGUCCGGACCUGACGCUGAGGCGCGAAAGCGUGGGGAGCAAACAGG
rnacentral:rRNA from 1 species